CACAUGCAUAGCCGGUGCCUUAUCUCUAGCAGGACCACUGACGUGAUUAUACAUUACUGUCUGACUUGCUUAGGAUUUGUGCUGAGAUUAUACGGCUGAACUUGAUCUAGAUAACACUAGCGAUAAGGAUAUGCAUUCUACCCCUG
rnacentral:ncRNA from 1 species